UGGGUGAUGCGAGGUGACAGGCUCC
rnacentral:piRNA from 1 species